rnacentral:rRNA from 1 species
UACGAAGGGGGCUAGCGUUGUUCGGAAUUACUGGGCGUAAAGCGCACGUAGGCGGACAUUUAAGUCAGGGGUGAAAUCCCAGAGCUCAACUCUGGAACUGCCUUUGAUACUGGGUGUCUCGAGUUCGGGAGAGGUGAGUGGAACUGCGAGUGUAGAGGUGAAAUUCGUAGAUAUUCGCAAGAACACCAGUGGCGAAGGCGGCUCACUGGCCCGAUACUGACGCUGAGGUGCGAAAGCGUGGGGAGCAAACAGG